rnacentral:rRNA from 1 species
UUAGAGUUUGAUCCUGGCUCAGGACGAACGUUGGCGGCGCGCCUAACACAUGCAAGUCGAACGGGACCAUUUUAGAGUUUACUUUGGGAUGGUUUAGUGGCGGACGGGUGAGUAACACGUGAGCAACCUACCUUUCAGAGGGGGAUAACAGUUGGAAACGACUGCUAAUACCGCAUAACGUUGUAAAAGGGCAUCCAUUUACAACCAAAAGAGAAAUCUGCUGAAAGAUGGGCUCGCGGCCGAUUAGAUAGUAGGCGGGGUAACGGCCCACCUAGUCAACGAUCGGUAGCCGGACUGAGAGGUUGAACGGCCACAUUGGGACUGAGACACGGCCCAGACUCCUACGGGAGGCAGCAGUGGGGGAUAUUGCACAAUGGGCGAAAGCCUGAUGCAGCGACGCCGCGUGAGGGAAGACGGUCUUCGGAUUGUAAACCUCUGUCUUUGGGGAAGAAAUCAGACGGUACCCAAAGAGGAAGCUCCGGCUAACUACGUGCCAGCAGCCGCGGUAAUACGUAGGGAGCGAGCGUUGUCCGGAAUUACUGGGUGUAAAGGGAGCGUAGGCGGGCUUGUAAGUUGAAUGUCUAAUCCACCGGCUCAACCGGUGAUCGCGUUCAAAACUGCAGGUCUUGAGUGAAGUAGAGGCAGGCGGAAUUCCUAGUGUAGCGGUAAAAUGCGUAGAUAUUAGGAGGAACACCAGUGGCGAAGGCGGCCUGCUGGGCUUUAACUGACGCUGAGGCUCGAAAGCGUGGGGCCCUAAAAGGGUUAGAUACCCUGGUAGUCCAAGCCGUAAACGCUUAAACGGGGGUGUGGGGAGAUCAAACUAUUUCGUGCCGGAGAAGACACAAUAAAGUAAUCCACCGGGGGAGUACGACCCGCAAGGUUGAAACUCAAAGGAAUAGACGGGGGCCCGCACAAGCAGUGGAGUAUGUGGUUCAAUUCGAAGCACCGCGAAGAACCUUACCUAGUCUUGACAUCCCGGUGGCAAGUGAGCAAAGUCAAUGUUCAUUCGGGACACCGGAGACAGGUGGAGCAUGGUUGUCGUCAGCUCGUGUAGUGAGAUGUUGGGUUAAGUCCCGCAACGAGCGCAACCCCUGUCCUCAGUAGCCAGCACUUAGGGUGGGCACUUUGGGGAGACAGCCGGAGACAAUCCGGAGGAAGGCGGGGAUGACGUCAAAUCAUCAUGCCCCUUAUGUUCUGGGCUACACACGUGCUACAAUGGCGCCUACAAAGUGAAGCGAGCGAGCGAUCGUAAGCAAAACACAGAAAAGGCGUCCCAGUUCGGAUUGCAGGCUGCAACUAGCAUGCAUGAAGCUGGAAUCGCUAGUAAUCGCGGAUCAGAAUGCCGCGGUGAAUACGUUCCCGGGUCU